UAGGGCAAGUCUGGUGCCAGCAGCCGCGGUAAUUCCAGCUCCAAUAGCGUAUAUUAAAGUUGUUGCAGUUAAAAAGCUCGUAGUUGAAUUUCGGGAUCAAUUUAUUGGUCGUGCUAUUGUACGUACUGGUAUUAUUGAUUCCUACCUUCUGACGAACCAUGAUGUCAUUAAUUUGGUGUCUUGGGGAAUCAGGACUGUUACUUUGAAAAAAUUAGAGUGUUUAAAGCAGGCUCACGCUUGAAUACAUUAGCAUGGAAUAACGAAAUAGGACGUUUGAUUCUAUUUUGUUGGUUUCUAGGAUCGACGUAAUGAUUAAUAGGGAUAGUUGGGGGCAUUAGUAUUCAAUUGUCAGAGGUGAAAUUCUUGGAUUUAUUGAGGACUAACUACUGCGAAAGCAUUUGCCAAGGAUGUUUUCAUUAAUCAAGAACGAAAGUUAGGGGAUCGAAGACGAUCAGAUACCGUCGUAGUCUUAACCAUAAACUAUGCCGACUAGGGAUCGGAUGAUGUUAAUUUUUUAAUGACUCA
rnacentral:rRNA from 1 species